rnacentral:miRNA from 1 species
AGGGCUGAGGCCUGGAUCCAGC